UUUUUGUUGCUAUGGAAAGCUCUUAUAUUUUAAUCAAGGUCUAAAGUUUGACAUUCUAAUGGAAUUUUUAGACUACAUUUUCCUCACCGCGUGGUAUAAAGUUAAAUUUUAGACUAUGAAUUGGUCCAUAGUUGGUUUUAAACCACAUAGUAAAGAAUAACUUUGUUGUCAUCUAAAAUUAAAAUAUUUUUAUAAGUCGUAUAUAUCUAUAAACAAAUCUUUUUCACGGUUUUUUUAAAUUUUAACCGUGGUACGUAGUAUUGAAUAUUUUGUAACAAUUUUUUUUUGUUAAUAUGUAAGGUAGAUGAAUCAAACCUCUAAUUUUGAAGUUAAUACCAUAAAUAUUAUGACAAUUGUUGAGUAUUAAACAACUAUUUUUGUUACUAUGAUUAAAGUUUGACUUUUGGACCAUCAUUUAAAUAAAACUAGUUUGAUUUUUUAUUUAUUUAUAACUUGUUUCUUAAAAGCCAUAGAAAGUAGAAGGAUUUUGAAGAUGAUGGUUAAGAAAAAAAACUACAGCAUAUCAACUCUUGUUCAUUUAUUGUGUAGUUUAAUGAGUUUAUUUGAACAAAAUUAUUCAAUGAGAACCUACUUGACCCUACAACAUUUAGGUGUAAAAGAAAUUUGUAGAAAAUUAAUGGUAUAAAAUUAAUUCUAGGUAUGUGUGGCCAUCAUGGAUCGACUUUAUGAUCUCUUAGUUAUUGACCCUUUUACCACUAGACCAAUCCAAGAUGGGUACCGUUGUAAUUAAAACUUAGCUUUGUUUUAUAUAUAUAUAUAUAUUUAAAUUCAACUGAGUAAUAUUUCCUACCUCUCAUCUCAUUAAUUAUUCAUAUUUUUGUUGUUAGUGAUCAAGAAGAUAGUGACUUUUCCUUGCAUCCUACUUGUAUUAAAAAAAAUUAUUUUAACAUUUAAAUUUCUGGAUUUCAAUAUAGCAUAUAUUUUUUUAUAUAAAAAAAAAACAUAAACAUACACAUUAAGAUAUAGAUGGGUUAUAGGUAUACUAGAACAUCUAUUAGAUAUGUGAACACUUUGUAGCAUUCGUAUUGUUGCUUUUAAAUUUGAAUUUUGCUUAACUCUACUCUUUCCUUUUCGCUUUGCUUUAUAGACUUACCUUUUAGCCUUUUUUCUCUUUUCUCAUCUCUUUUAGCAUCUAAUAAUUUUGAAUUAGAUGGAAGAUCAAAAGAUUAACACAGAUAAUUAAGUUGUGACGCUAUUUAAGUUUCUGAUAGAUUCUUUUUGACAAGGAAUUAAAGAAAUGAAAGAAUAUUAAAGAUGGUAAGAACUGCAUCAUCUAUGGGACUGGGAGAAUAUGUAUAUUAAAUUUUAUCAUCUCAUCUGGGUGUUCUAAGUCAUAGCUAUUUUGUAAUUAUAUAUGAAUUAUUCUUUAACACACUACAAUCAGAAGGCUUUCCUACGGCUCCUCUCUUUCUUGUAUUACAUUAUUCUCUUUCAAGUUUCUCUCCUACCUCGUUUUUGUACCACAUCUUUAUGUGAUCUCCAUUGUGUCUUGUGAAUAAUAUUAUAAUAAAAAAUCCAAAACAGAUACUUUGUAUGGAUGAACAAGAAAUUUCCAGAUAUAAGGAAGACAACAAGAAUGAAACAUGAAUGAAUUCUGACUUAACCCAAAUAAUAAGAAGAAGAAAAAAGAAGAAAUUCUAUCCUGUGAAUCCAACUGAUAUAUGUACUAAAUAUAUAUAUAUGUAGUGGGGGAAUAUAAAAGUGUGAAUUUUGAAGAGACCAAAGAUGCUAUACCAAAUGUAUGGAGGAGGACGUACCGUACUCUAAAUGCUUUAACAUGGAGAAGUACUAUACAAAGAAGAACAUAUUCUCCAUAAUCUAAUUAAGGUUUCGGAUAUGUGUAAUUACCAAAAAUGAAAGCUUACCACACACACACUCACACACUUAAGGAUAUGCAUUAUAUUAUUGAUCCUUAGCUAAGGCAAAAAAAAAUUUCUCUCAAUCCUUCAUUCAUUUAUUUAUUUUAUUAUUGUUGUUGUUGUUUUUCAUUAAUAUAUUGUUGGAUAAGAGAUGAAACUCUGCCUCAAUAAAUUCAUAAUCUUCAAUUGGUUAAAUUAUAACAAAUAUCCUCAAACUUUGUAUUUUAUUUCAAAAUUUCACAAACCUCGCUUUUGAAUUCAUCUUUGAUUUUUUUUUUUAGAAUUUAUAUGGCAAUUUAUAUUUUCUUUCUAAUUUUGUUUCGAAAAUUUUUAAAGGAAAUUCUAUCUUCUUGAGAUUAUUUUCUUUUACAAAAAGUUAACGUUAUGCUUGCUAUUAUGGCUACUUUUGAAAGUAAAACGUAUUUUUUAAACAAAAUAACAAAAUUUAAGGACUUUUUUUUUCCCUUUACUUCAAUAUUUUCAAUCCCAUCCUUUUUUUUUUCUUUUUUUUUGAAUUUUUGAAUUUUACAUUCUAGUAUUUUCAUGCACACAACAUUUUUCACAAACUAAUAAUAAUAAGAAAAUUGUUAAUAAAAAGUGAAUGAUUAUUAAAUUAUUUUUUCCAAGUUCUAAAUGUACUUGGACAUAUGAAUAUGCACUGAAAUAAUUUAAUUUUGACAUUUUAAACUCAAAACUUAGCUCAUCCAUUAACAAAAUCAUUGUUUUUCAAGUAGCAUAUGUUGAGUAUCAAUGAUGACACAUCUAAAUAUAUAUAUAUAAAUAAAUAAAUAAAUAAAUAAAUAAAUAAAUAUAUAUAUUAGUUUAAAAUAAUUAAGAAAAUACAAGUUUGUAUUUAAUUAAACCAAAAAAAGGACAUAUAAGCUUAGCUUUUUUUUUUUUACCAACUUUAAUUAAAACAUUUUAUUUCACAGAUAUCCUUCAUUAAAAUAAUCAAGGACAAAUCAUAGGUUACUUUUAAAAGAUUUAGAAAAUUAGUUGAUUUUGGGUUGUAAUUUGGAUUUCAUAAUCAAAAAAUUUUUUAGAAGUAAUUAUGUUCUUAACAUGAGAUUAUAUAUCAUUAAUGUUUUGUUCACUCCAAACAAAAAUGUUUUGUUCACUCCAAAGAAAAGAGAAGGAUCAAAAUUUUCAAUUUUUUUUUUUAUGAAAGUUUGCUAGCUGUAAAUAGAUAUGUAUGAACAUAACUAAUCAAUUACACUAUCAUUUUUGUGAAGAGUAAUGACUUUGCGGAUGCUAAAAGUCAAAAGAAGUUACUCGUAUUUACUUAAUAAAGAUUCUAGAAGCGCGUUCUUUUGAAGAAACAAGUAUGGCAUCAAACACAUCGGUUGACAUGGAUGGAGGAAGAAAUAAAGAAAAGGAAAGGAAAAGGAAGGGAGAAAACAAAGUAAUUUUAAUUCUUGUAUAUAUAAUUCAAUAAUAAACAUUACCCCAUCAACUUUUGCUAAGACAUUAAAAAUAAUUGACUAUAAGGACCAUAGACAAUUUUUAAAAAAAAUAUAUGUUUCUAUAUUUGAUGAUAAAAUGGUCUUUGAAUAUCACACCCCCAUUUCAUUAAUGCAUCUUUUACCACUUUUGGAUAGUAAGAAAUUGCAUGAGAAAAAAAAAGAGAAACACAUAAAAGAUCAAAUUUAAAAUUUAAAAAGAUUUGACAGAAAAUUUAUUUUCUAUGGAUUGAUUGCACCCGAUGAUUUUAAAAGGGAUAAAGAAAUAUUUUUAAAUAAUGAUAAAUAUAACAAAAUUUAUGAACGAUAAACUUAUAUUUUUAUAUAUUUACUUUUAAAUUUGAAUAAGUUAAGUAAAAAAAAUUGACAAUAAAAAAAAAUCACUUUUGACUCCGUUUGGACGUGGAAUCAAAUUCCUUUUACUUUAUAACUAAAUAUUCAUAUAACACGUUAAUUUAUUCUUAUACCAUGGUUAAUUGUUCCAUUAUUUUUAAUAUUUGGGUGAAUUUAUAAUCAUUUUAAAUAAUUUUAAUUUUACACCAUUUAAAAUGUUGGAAUAACAAGAGACAUAAGACUUAUCUUAAUAGUCUCCUAAAAUAUUAAGACCAAAACACAUAUCAUUAUUAUCCUUUGUUAAAAGAUAAAAGUUAUUGGAAUCUAAAAUUCGCCACGCUAACUUGAGAUAGUUCAACUAAUAUCAAAAUACUUAUCAUUUAUCAAUUGAUUAGAGAAGACUAGCACAUUCAAUAUUAGUUAACAGGGAUGCUUUCCCUCACUAUAAAAGCACAUUAAAAAGCCUAGUUUUCAAGCCCAACAAAAAACAAAUUAAAAGAUAUAUGUGUAUAUAUAUACAUCAAAUCUUAUUUCCUUUCCUCGUCAUCUAUUACGGCUUCUUCUUUCUUCUCUUGGAUGGGGAACUCCAAAAGCAAAACGUACAAACGAGUUCUAGUUCCAUUCUCAGAGGAGCAACUGGCCAACGUUUUCAAGAACCAUGACCGAGACGGGGAUGGGCAUCUGACGAAGGAGGAGUUGAAGCAAGCCUUCGAAUAUCUCGGCUCACGCUUCUGCAACUUCCGGGUAGAAGAAGCCCUACGUGCCGCCGAUACCAACGGGGACGGUGUCAUCAGCAUGGAUGAGAUGGGGAAGCUAAUUAAGUAUGCCAAAACUCGUAAAUACACUAUUAGUUAAAAAGUAAAUGUAUGUUAGCUAUAUCAACUUCAGUUGUUCUUGUUCACCUAUAUAUAUAUAUAUAUAUUAUAUAUAUGUCUUCAUAUAUUUAUCUGUAUUUGAAUGAGUGGAUUCGAAUUAAUACCCCUCUUUGUCCAACGAUAUAUAAAUAAUAAUAAAAAAAAUUGUUAAAUGGUUUUGUUGAUUGUGUAUUGAUUCGAUCUCACUCUCUGCUUGUCUCUAAUAUAAAGAAUGGACCUAAUUUAAUUUGCAGGGAGAUGGAACAAUAAUAUUAUGAUAUGAUUUGAACUCAUGAUUCGAUGUACGUCGUGUUUGGAAUCAUUUUUAAUUUUUUUUUCUCUGGAAAUAUUAAUAAUUUAGAGUGUAUUUAACAUAGUCUUCAAUUAUUUGAGAUGAUACUAAAAUUUUCUUUAAAAAAUUCUUAAUAAAUGAAAAGUAGAUUAAAGAAUUUGGAUUCAUUUAAAAUCAUCUUUCAAUGAUCUAGCUGAUGCCUUAUCUAUAAUAUAGUUUUUUUUUUUUUAACUCAAUUACCAUUUUUUUCUUAAAAUUAAUUUUGUUAAAAUAUAUCACAGUUCAAGUAUUGGCAACCUACGAUAUUAAUCCAUUCUAUUCUCUCUCAUGUAUAAUAACAAGAUUGCAUCUUGUAUAUAUACAAACACUUCUAUAAAUUUUCAAGGUCUUUUUAGCACAAUAAAGCUAGGAGAAAUUUUGGUCUUCACAUGCAUCAUUUUAAACUUAAAAAUAAAAUAAUAUUACCAAUAGUCUAAAAAUUCUUCCAUAGAUUCAAUUCUUUUACUAAAUAGAGUUUUCGGUCUCAUAUUUUGUCACCAAGUUUUAGACUAGAAUGUUUCCUUUAAUAGAACAUUUAGAGUUAAAUGACUUUCCACUUCUAGUUAAGAUAGAAGAUCACACCAAUUAUUACAAAUGUACUAAACUUGUUUGGACUAAUCGUUUUUUUCGAAUAAAACGCAAAACCAUAGUCAUGGAUUUGUUUAUACCCUAACAUGAAAGAAUAUUGAUUGUUUAUUUAUUUUUAAUUCUUUUUUGUUAAGCUUCUCAUUAGGUGUUUUUAAUAUUACAAUAAUAAAAAUAAAAAUAAAAAUAAAGGGAAGUUGGUCAAAUUUUGGAAUGAAAUUCGUGAAAAUCUGAUUAGUACGGUCUCCCUAUCUUAGGGGCAAUUCCAAUUUCUAAAUACACCAAAUAAAGUAUUAACAUAUAUAUAAUACUCCAAAAUCAUUUAUAACUAUAACAAAAAAUUUAAAUACAAACCUAUCACUAUUUAGAAUUUAACGACCUAUAAUAAAAUUUAUGAAUAACAAAUUUUACUAUAUUUUAACACAUAUUCAAAAAAAUUUCUUCAUCUUGUAACUUAUAUCUAUAUAUAUAUUAAUAAUUUUAAUCGUCAUCACCAAAUAUAUUUAUAUGUGAUCGACUUGAAUAUAGUUCAACUCAUUAAAACAUUAUACUUAUAUUUUUGCUUGAGAUGUCAAAUAUUCUAUUUUCUCUCUUUACAACUGUGUCCAUGUAAGCAAUGGAAUCCAAUUACAUCUAAUACCCAUCUGUAUUUACUUCUCAAUUUAGAAUUACUUUCCUUUCCCAUUCAAUAUACCUAAUAAAUUACUUAUUGAUAUUAGAAUGCAAACUAUACCCAUAUACCCCAAUUGUGAGCAUCUCAACAAGAAAAAUUCUUUCAACGAUGAAUUGUUUUUUUAAUUAAAUAUUUUGAAGAUACAGUGGUAUUUUAUAAAAAGAAACAAAAUUUUGAGCAUUUUUUAUUGGUAAGAUUAGGUAGAUAUAUAUAAAGAUAUUUAUUUAUCAAUUCCUAUUAAUCAAUUUUAAUUAAUAAUCAGAAAGUUGGUAACAACUUUUUCUGUGGGUUUCUCUCGUAAUGUUUUAGAGAUAGAUAGGGUUUAGAGAAAGAAUAUGGAGAUUUGUAUUAGAGUUUACAAUCAUGAUUACAACAAAGAUAUGACUAAGCUUAAAUAUUAAAGUCUAAGGUCCAAUGGACUUGUGUACAUGUAAAAUAAUAAACUAAUACUGAUUGUUAAUUAACAUCAAUUAGCAUAUAUAAUAUAAACCUUAUUAAUACACAUCAAAACUACAUACUUUUAACCCUUUCAAGUAUGCAUUACUGUGAUUCUUUUUGUAACUUAAUUUAGCCUCCACUUUAAUAUUAUUUUGUUUCUAUAAACUAAAUUUAUAAACACUACUUGUCCAUAGGUUUUUAUAUUUUCUAAUUAUCUGUCUUCUAUAAACAAAUACAAAAACCAAGUUUUAGAAACUAAUUGAAAAACUAGUUUUUUUUAAAAAAUAUUUAUUUUCGUUUUUAGAAUUGAACAUUGAAAAUUUACCAUAAAAAAAGAGAGAAAACGAACUCAUUUUUCUUCUUUUUUUUUUUCUUUUUAAGAUAAAAUAAAAUAUUUAUAAAAUGAAGCACAUUACUUUUGUUGUUGUGUGUUCUUUUAAUGUCAUUUCUUGAAUAUAUUUUAGAAUUUUGAUUGAUUUUGAGUUAAUCUUGACCAUCUAUCUCACACGAGAACAAUAGAAAAUAUAAAUCUACUGUACAUAUCAAUUUGUAAAUACAAGCUAUUAAGGUUAAACAUGUUAACCACAGACGAUUAUUUUUAUGUAUCUCUAUAAUACUAUGAUACAUAUUUUUGAGUUUACACCUUUGUUUUUUAUUUCAUAAAAAAAUUAUACCAAUAAAUUAAAAAUAAUUGCCCCAUUUCAAUUUUCGAAGACAUUGUAUUUUCUCUACUGCGCCAUUGACACUACCCAGACCAUUUGUAUUAUGUUUGGUGUGUACUCAACCUAACAACUUUCCCUAUUAAGUCACACCCUACUUUUAAAAAGAAUAUGCUUUCCAUCAAAUGUUGAAAUUAAUCUUCGUAUAAAAUGGAUCUUUGGGAAUUAAAUUUGUUAGCUACCAACUUUCUGAUACAGAGAAAAAUAAAACUUAUUAUUUACAAAAGUAAUCUCUCGUAAUGAUCUAGGGCAUGAAAACUUGAGUAUUAUGUAUUUUCAAGAAAGACAAAUGAUAAAAACUACAUUGAUGAUAUAGUUGUAAAUGUAUACCUUCAAAUUUUUAAUUGGAAAAUCAAAGGUUAAAAUUGAACCCUUAAACUAAUUACAUAAUUGUAGGAAUGGUAACAAUUGUUUGCUAUGUCUAAAGAAUCAAUUUUUAUCAUUCAAGGUCCUACUCUUAAUAGAAGAAACAAAACACCUUUGAAGAUGAUGAGUCCACCUGUGCAUUAUUUUACAUGUUUAUAGAUAGUUCUUAAUAUAAAAAGAAAAGUUGAAAUGUAAGAACUAAAUUUAUAUAUAUAAAGAAAAAAAAAAACACAUGUUUCUAAAAAGUUUUAAAUUAAUAGAAAUUAGGUGGCCUAAAAAUUCCACUCCUUUUAUCUUCCUUCAUAGGUCAAGAAAAAGGGAAACCAACAAUUCUCCCUCUCUCCUUCGUAACAGAAGAAACACAUGUUCAAAAAAAUUGAGAUUUGGUAGGCUGCUUGCUUCAUGAAGAUGGUGAGUCCAAACGUGUGAGAAAGAAACACCGCACGUUCAUUUUACAUGUUUAUAGAUAUAAAUCUCUCCCAUUGUAAAUUAAACCAACACAAAAGUCUUUCCCUCCUCUUACCUGUUCUUCUUUUAGAGCAAAACCCUUAUACACGUAUUAUAACCCAUCCAUGGGGACCUCCAACGGCUUGAUUUUUAAGUGUUUUCCAGCGUCGUUGACGGAGUUUGAGGUGGCCAAAGUUUUCAAGAACCACGACAAGGAUGGAGAUGGAAGGUUGACCAAGGAAGAGCUGAAGAGCGCCUUCAAGUAUUUGGGCUACAAGUUCACCACCUUUAGAGUCCACCAAGCCCUCCACGCCGCUGACGACAACUGCGACGAUGUCAUCAGCUUUGAGGAGAUGAGUAAACUUAUUAUGUAUACCGCAGGUUCAUAGCUAUAUGUACUCUCUUGGUGCAAGACCGCAGUUUGUUUCCAGUCGUCAUAUAUUUCAAGUCCGUGUGACAAAUCUCUAGUCAGAGACAUAAGUUUAACCUUGUAAUUUAGCUUGAAAAACCAUUAUAUAAGUUGUUCCUAUAAGAUAUAACUAUUCACCUAAAUAUAUAAAAGCAACAAAAUGAAAUUCUGUGUAUAUGACACACAUGUACCUGUGCAGGUGCGUAAAAGUUCAUUUUGUUUGCUUAUAUAUGUAGCAGCAAGCACACAUGGCCAUGGAAUUUUGGGACUAGUGUCUAGAUUUAUAUCUCUUAAGACUAUUUUCUGCCCCAGUGAAGCAACCACAUGUUACAAAAACAAAUAAUAUCAGAACAAUGAAUAUCCUUUUUUUUAAUUUAUGGUAUAAAUACUGUCUACAUUGUCGCGACGUGAUCGCUACGCGGAGCGGCCGACCUCUCCGUUUAUUUAAUUUUAAUAAAUGAAUAGUUUUAGAGUCGCCACCAAUCAUAUUAAGGUGUGAUUGGUCACCCAAAAAAGAAAAAAAAUGGUCUACGUAAAUUAAAAAAUUUAAGUUCGGAAGUGAGUUGUGUAGGGAAGUUGUUACACCCUACAACACCCACAAAAUGGUUAGCCAAUUUUAUCUUUUAAAUUAAAUAUAGAGGUUCACAAAACAAAGUUUUUAUUUAGGUUUUGUUUAAAUGUCUCAUGUUUAUCGAUUCAUAUCGAAGAAGAAAGUAAAACCUAAGCAUGAAUUGAUAAUUAUUGGUGGCAUAAGAGCCAUUAGAAAAUGAAGGUUAUUUUUAUUUUAGAAGAUUUUUUUAUUCAAUAUUAAGAUAUUAAAACUUGAUAUUUUAAUCUCUAUCAUAGGUGUUUAAUGAGAAAUUUCAUGUAUUAAUAAAUUCAUAGAAAACACUACUCAAUCUCAUUUAAAAUAUGAAAUGUGUUUAUUUAAAAACAAUCUAUUAAUUAAAAUUUCAAACGGAAAAAUUUCAUGUAUUUAUGGAAUUUAAAUUAUAAAAUCCAUAAAAAAACAAUAUUUUUCUCCAAUUUACAUUUUUAUAUUUCAAUUGGAAAAUGAAUAAUAACAAUCACAAAACAUUAUUAAAUUUGAAAAAUAGUUGAAGGAUAAUAUGGUGAGAUAAAAUAAAUACAUAAAACAAAUACAAGAUAAUGUAAGUAAUAUGCAAAAUGUACAAGAUGAUUAAUUAAUGUAGGAUGCAAGAUAAUUAAUUAAUACAGAAUGAUGCAAAAUAAUUAAUUAAUUCAAAAUGAUGCAAAAUAAUUAAUUAAUGCAGAAAGAUACAAAAAUAAUUAAUUAAUGCAGAAACAGAAAUAAGCAAAAUAAUUAAUUAAUUCAAAAAUAGGCAAAAUAAUUAAUUAAUUCAGAAAUAUAAAAAACAAUUAAUUAAUUCAAAAAUAUAAAAAAAAUAAUUGAUUAAUUCAGAAAUAUGCAAAAUAAUUGAUUAAUUCACAAAUAUACAAAAUAAUUAAUUAAUUCAGCAAUAUGAAAAAUAAUUAAUUAGGCCAAACCAGAUUAAUGAAUAAUUAAACGAGGAUGUCAAAUGGAUAAAAUAAUAAUUAACUGCAAGAGUGCCAUAAUAGGUUUAAUGCAAUAUGACCAUAAAUAAUCACAGUAGCCAAAUGAAUGUCAAAUAAUUUAAUAUAUAAUGCAAAUAAUUCGAACGAGUAAUUUACAUAAGAGGCCAAAUGAGUGCCAAAAUAAUUAACGAUGUGCAAAUAAUUAGCCUCCAAAAAUUAAAACUGUCAAAUACAUGAUACUAAUUAAUUAACCAUGUAUAAUUAAGAGUGUAUGUCAAAUGAAUAAUUAUUUUCAAAUGCAUAAUUAACACAUAUGUCAAAUUGAUAAUUAUUAACGCAAGAUACCAAAUGGAUACACCCAAUUAACGAAAAAUGUAAAAUGGGUGGCUAGAUAAUUGAAAAGAUAGCAAAUAAUUAAAUCAGUAUGCCAAAUUGGUGUCAAAUGGGUGCUAAAUAAUUAAGACAGCAAUCAAUUAAUUAACACAUCAUUUAAUUAAUUAACCAAAUGAAGUAAUUAACAUAGCACCCAAAUGGAUGUCAAAUAAUUAAUCCAUAACAGAUUAAUUAAGGUAGUAGCCAAAUGGAUGCCAAAUAAUUAAACAGAUGCAAAACAACUAAUUAAUCAACCCAACAAUCAAAUAGUCAAAUGAGUAUCAAAUUAAUUAACUAUAUGCAUGCAAUCAAAAUAGUCAAAUGGCCAAAUGAAUGUCAAAUAAUUAACUCAAGAUGCAACAAAUUAAAAAUGUCAAAUAUGACAAGUGCUAAUUAAUUAAUAGGUCAAAUGAAAUAUGUGUAUUGUCAAAUAUAGGAGGCUAAUUAAUUAAUCAUGCAUAAUUAUUAAUGCAGAAAUAGGUGUAAGUAAUUUACACAUAAUGAAUAUGAGAUGGGUGUCAAAUAAUUAAAAGAUAUCAAAUGAGUGUCAAAUGAUUAAAAGGAUGCAAAUAAUUAAAAGAUGUCAAAUGAUUAACACAGCAGCUACGAGUGAUUUAAAUGAAUAAUUAAGACAACACCCAAAUGAGUGCCAAAUAAUUAAGGCAGUAUCAUCAAGCAUGAAUAAAAGAAAUUAACUUAUAGAUCUGCCUUAAAUGCAAAAAGUUAUAUAUUCAUCAUCUUCACCUCUUUCUAAAAAAAUUUCUUUUACGUGUCUCUCUUCUCUAUCAAAUAAUCCUCCCAACAAAAAAAUUCUCCUAGCACCAAAAAAAUUCCAGCAAAAAAUUCUCUCAUUCUCUCUUUAUAAGGCAAUGUCUCAUUUUUUAGAUAGAAGUGGAGUAGUUUUAGAUAGUGAAGUGAAGUACGGAAAGGUGGAAGAGUGAGAGAACGUGAUAGAUUGAGAGAAAGUGGGAACGUAGUGAUCAAGAAAAACAAGAUGGUUGAGAAAAACAAGAAGAGAACAAAAACUUUUACUUUUACUUUUAAAUUUUAAAUAAGUUUUAUUUUUGUUUUUGUUUUAAAACAUAAAUUUAACUUAAGAUUUAAAAUUUAAAAUUUAAAUUUAAAUUCUUUUAAAAAAUAAUAAAAACAAAAAAACAAAACAAAAUACGAUAUCUACACACAUAUGUAAAAUGGCACCCUACAAAGGGUCUCGUACCCUUCAAAAAUUUACCCAUAUUUCAAAUUGAAAUGGGAGGAAAACUUAAGCCAGGGUAUAUAACUCAAAAGGAUACAAAAUCUCAAAAAUAGUUUUUCAUUGCAAUGAUAAUAUCUUGAGUUUCUUUUUAGGAAAAUUGCAAUGGAAGACUAUUUUAGAAAUAAUAAUUAAGAAUAUAGCAACAUUUUAAAAAAAUUACAAAUAUAGCAAAACUAUCACUGAUAGACUUGUAUCGCUGAUAGACUUCUGAUAGAACUAAGUCAUGCACAGCGGAAAAAGAAUCGAAUUUCUACCCUAAUUGCCAUAAUUAACAUGUAACCAUAAACUAAUCAAAUUAGAGUUUUAAGAAGUAUUACCUUUGAAGCUUUCAAAAGGUUUGAUGUCUUCUUACCAAUUCUACCCGAGACCACCACUAGUACUCAACUGCUAUCCUCUAGACAAAGAACCGGGUUGUGGGACCCAAUUUUGGUGUAGAAAGUAAUGGAGAUAAAAUGAGAUUGGAAGCUUUCUUUUUUCUUUUGUUGAGAUGAUGAAAAUGAUAAAAGAGGCAAAAGUCUUUCAACAUUUGAAAACAUCUCUAUUUAUAGCCUAAUUACAUGCAAAAAUGCAUGCAAUUCAAUUGCCAAAUCUCAACACCUAAUAUUCCACUAACAAUUAGUGGAACUUAGUGGGCUAGGUGUCUAUAUCUCAUAUAGCCACAUAUCCCACUAAGAGUUAGUGGGAUUAUCCAACAAAAUGUUGGAUUUUCCCACUAACUUAGUCCAAGGGUAAAAUGGUCAUUAGAUUUUUCUAGUCAAAAGUCAAACUUUGACUUUUCUAAGUCAAAAGUCAAUAUUUUGACUUUUUACCAUUUUGUCCGUCUUGACUAAUUCCAACCUCCCGAGCAUGAAUCCGCAUUCAUUUUUCCAAAAUUCAAAUCACAUUUGAAUAUAAGGCCGGUCAAAGUUUGACUUUUCAAAGUCAAAAGUCAACAUUUUGACUUUUUACUAUUUUUGACCAAUUCCGAGCUUCUUAGUAUGAAUCCGCAUUCAUACUUAUAGUAUGUAAAACAUAAAGCUCUAUUUCUAAUUAGAAGACCGACGAUUAUAUCACUGUAUAUGUCGGUUUUCCUUUCUUCUCCCUAUUCGAACAAUUCGACUUAUUUCAUCACACUGUUCUAAGUUUAAUCCAUAUGAGCUAGCAGAGGAACCUAAUGGACCUAUAGAUCAUGGGCUCCAACGAUUCAAGAUUAACUAGCUAAACUCUUUUAAACCGAGUUAAUCAACAUUCGUUAACUAACGGGUCAUUCCACUAAAGUCCCGUAGUUGCACUCCCCUCACUAUAGAUAUAUUUGUGUCCAUUUGAUAAAACCAUAAUCAGUAAGUUAAUCCUUCACAGGUUGCUCGUAACCUUGGCUGGGUCAAAAUACCGUUUUACCCCCAAGAUUACAUCUUGCUCCUUAAGUCCCACUAAUCCACUAUUGAACAAUUGGUUUAAGGUUCAACCUAUAAACUUAAUCCCUCUCGGGCCAAUGAGAGGGUGGGGCCCCUUGUUCAAGACUUGGAUUCAGUGCUUAAGAGAGCAACCUAUCUACUAACCCUAAAGCGGGUAGGAGUGAAUUCCAUCUUGUACCCUAUGUUCCCAGCUAUCCACCCGAUCUUACCCCUGAAAUGGGAGGCUUAUUGGGCCAACGCUGAUGAGCUGCCCUCACCUAUGCAGAUCUAAGGAUAAUCUCGUAUGAACAGGAGUUCAUAGUUAACUCAGGAUUAAGACUAAGUUACCUAGGUCAUCAAUAAUUGAGAUAGUCAGUUUUAAACAGUAAACGGUGUUAUAACGUAAAAAUGACUAAUUCAUGGUUCAGUCUUAUGUAAACAUUUUACAUAGGAUGCCCCCACUUUCAUGUCUCUACAUGAACGAUUAGGAUCACAUCGUUUGUACUACAAAGUGGGCCGCAUCCAUAGUCUCUCAAAAUAAGGCGCCCAACCUUUAUUUCAUAUACUAUAGACUAUUUAGGCUAUAUACUCGAACUUGAUCCACGUUUAUGUUUACACAUAAAGUUCAAGUUUAUUCAAAAAAUAGCCUUGGAACUUUGAUUUAUUGGAUUUAAGAUUAUAAUAUUUAAUUUCUCAAUAACAACUUUAUUGAAUAGAAUAUGAUUUACAAACUACGAGUUUUAGGACAAAAAAUUCCAACAACUUCAUAUGAUAUAUCAGUGAUAGACCAAUAUUUGCAACAUGAUCUAUCAGUGAUAGACUUAUAUAAUUGAUAGAAUUUAACGAAUUUUGCUAUAUUUACAAAUCUUUUAAAAUUAUACUAUAUACUUAAUUAAUUUAAAUUUAAUUGUUAAAUUUACAACUCCAGUAGUUUUCUAACAUGAAGAUUUAAAAAAAAGAUGAUAUGACAAUAAUAAUUGCGUGAAUUGGGUUGCUCAAAUUUUUACAAUCCAAAACCCAAAACAAACACAGGGUUGUCACGUUGCCCAAUUAUGAUUGGGCCUGAAAGAUAUAGGUGCAACCAAUUUGGACCCAUAAAGGUAAAUUCAAUAUUUAUAGUUAGUAAUUUUAUAAAUAAUAAUUAAGUAUAUGAUAAUAUUUUAAAAAAUUAUAAAUAUAGGCAAAACUAUUCUUAUAUUUGUUUUUAAUUAUAUAUUGUUAAAUCACCUUAACUAAAUUAUUGUUAAAUCACCAAAACUAAUUUUUUUAAGGUGCUAUAUCAGGGUAAAUUUAAAUAUUAUAGUAAUACUCCAACAAUCAUGACUAUUUUUAAUAGGUUUGGCUAACUAUGUCCUGUUAAAAAUAUGUGAUUUUGAUAUAAUACAUUUUUAUUUUAGAGAUGUUUGUUUUUUUGUUUUUUUGUUUUUAAUUUCUAUCUGCAAAUUAUUGUAUCUCAAUGAAGAGUUUUAUUGCUGUCAUAAAAUAAAAAAUGACAAAGGGGCUAAAUAACAUAACAUAUCUGAAUAAUAAACUAUAAAAUUAAUAAACACAUUAACAAGACUGAUAUUUUUGGUUAAAAAAGGCAAAGGAACGUAACAUCAAAUCAUAGGGGGGCUUAAUUAAUUGAUAUCAUAAAGUGUAUUUACAUGAUAUUGACGACAUAAAAUAAUCAAUAACAACAAAUUUAAUUAUCAAUUAUGUUAGGAAGGAAUUAAAUUCUUUUACUUUAGAGUUAACAUAUAUAUAUAUAUAUAUAUAUAUAUAUAUAUUUCCGAAUAUAUUAAAUUAUUCUUAAUCGAUAAUCAUUGAGUUAAUUUUUAAUCUAGAGGAUAAGAACAUGAAACUUAUCUUGGAAAAGAAAGGCAGAGAGAUGCUUACCCCACGAAUCUUUGUCAAAUUGGAAAAAAAUCGAAUAAAUACCAUAUGUUGAAGCUUGGGAUAUCUUUUUUAAUAUCUACUAUUCUUUACCAAAUAAUAAAUAUACAUAUAUAUUAUACCUACCUAUUUUUAUUUACGUAUAUAUCUUUUUUUAAAUAUUAAUAUUAGUAAUAAUAUUUUAAAUUAUUUAUUUAUUUUAAAAAUGUAAAAAAAUUAGUAAUCAAUUUAUUUUUAAAAAAAUCUUUUAAUAUCAUAUUUAUACUAUUUUAGGUAAAACAAUGGAUUCGUUUUAAAAUAAAAUAUUAUAAUAUCACUUUUAUUCUUUUAAGUAAAAAGAAAUCUAAUUUUAAAUUAAAAAUCUUUUCAUUUUCAUUUGAUUUAUUAAUUUAUUUUUAAGAGAAUCUCAAAAUAUCUAAUUCAAUUUAUUCAAGAAAAAUAAAAAUUUGUUUUAAUAUUAAAUUUUGAUUUUUAUUCUUAUUAUUUUUUUUCUAAUUUACCGUACACCCCAGUGUAUAAAAUCUUAUUUAUUUUUUUCUUAUUUUUAUCUUGAUCUUUAUUUUCUUUACUCUAAUAAUAUAAAGAGAAUAAGAUUAUGUCAUUAUUAUUAAAAAAUAUAUAUUAUUGUUAUUGUACUUAUAUUUAUAUUUUCUACUGUUUUUUAUUAUUAUCACUAUACUUUUAUUAAUAUUUUUUUUAUAUUACUAGUUAUUCUCUUUUAAUUUCUUCUUAUUAUUACUAUUACUUAUAUAUAUUUAUAUAUAUAACUUAUUAUUGUUAUGUGUAUUAUUACUUUUUUUCUUUUAUUAUUAUUAUGGGUGGCGACCCCUCUAUUUAAAAAAAAAUCUUUUUCUUUCUCUUUUAUUUCUUCUUUCCCUUUUUAUAUUAUUAUUUAUUUAUAUAAUUUUGUUUUUUAUUUAUUUUAACUUAUUUUCAUUGCACGUUAACAUUGUAUUUUAUAUCAAUUUUUUAUAUCAUAACAUUUUAUCAUUCUAAAAAAAUCCGACGAUCAAAUUAGAAAUAUCUGGAGGUCAGUUAUUUGGGAGGGCAAGAUUCGAUUUCCAAUAUUAUUUUAAAAUUAAAAUCUUAUUUUACUUGCUUAAUUCGUUGUAUAAUAUAUUUGAUUCCAUUAUGCAUUAUUUACUAUUGACCUAAUUUUCAAGACCUUUCUUAAAUUUCAUUUUUUAACCGUUUAUAAAUUUUUACUUUAAAACUAUCCUUUUUAAUCUUUUUUAAAAAAGGUUUAAAAUAUAAAUCUAUAUUUGAUAAGUUUUCCCUAAUCAACUUUUUUAAUAACCCACUUUUAUUUUGCUAAAAAUUUCCUAUGAUGAAAUCUAAGAAAUUUGAAAGUUCGAUUUUCUAGAAUUUUUAAUGUGAUGGAUCACAUUUUUAGAAGUCCAAGAUGUGAUCACAAGAAAAAAAAAAAAGAAUUUAAUCGAUAUUGUUUUUAUAAAAAAAAAAAUUAUUCCAAGACUAGUCUAUAAUAAAUUUUGAGAAAUUGUAAUAUUUUCUCAUUUUCUUAAGGUGAGAAAUUUUUCUCAAUAUAUAGUUUAAUUAAUGGAAUAUUAUUUUACUUAUUUUAUGAAAUCAUUGCUUCAAAUAUUGGAGCAAUGAGGUGUGACCUUAAUUUUAAAAUAAAUAAAAAAUAUUUUCAAUUCAAGAUUUAAAAUUUGGCCACCGUUUUUUCUAAAUGAGUGUUGUGAGAUGCUAAUACUUUUCCCCACACAAAUGAUUCACGAACUCAACUCACUUUUUCGCAGACCAUGUUUUUUAAAAUUGUUUACUUUAUUUCGAUGUCCAAUCACACCGUAAAAAAGAUUGGUGAUGGCUCCUAUUUUAUUUUAAAACUAGCUUUUUUGAGAACGUCGGCCGCUCCGCGUCGUCUCAGACACAUGCUGACAUAUAUAUAUAUAUAUAUAUAUAUAUAUAUAUAUAUAUAUAUAUAUAUAUAUUAUAUAUUAAUAUAUAUAUAUAUAUACUCCUCAUAGAGUAAUAUUAAUUAAGGAAAAUUGCAAAACCAUCCUAAAAUAAGGUGGUAGUUGCAAUUAUACUCUUCAAACUUUCAAAUUUUAAAAUUAAAUCCUAAAACUUACAUAAAUAUAUAAAUUGUAUAAAUUUGAUUGAUUAUAUACCUUCGAGGAUUCAACCAUUUUUCAUUUUUUCAUUUUUAAAAUUUUAAUUUAGACAUCUAAUUGUUAUUGUUGAAAGUUUGAAGGGGUGCAAAUUGCAAUACUCCUCUAUAUACUUUAGAGUUGGUUUUUGCUUCUCCUUUUAAGGUGAAAGAAGAUUAAUGGAGUUUUUUUUUUUUUUUUUUUGGCCAUUUUAGGUUCACAAAUGAGUCGUUUUUAUAUAUGUGUAUAUGUAUAUGAAAAGAGAAAGAAUUACAAAUAUUUGAGUGUGGAUCAAUGAAGUUGAUGACUAUAUAGUAAUGGCAGUUGAUGUUGGUACCAUACAUUACAUCUCAUCCCUUGCUCUUGGAAUGGCAUACAUGGAAAAGGAAAAGGAAAAGAAUAACGUUGAUUCAAAAUGGUUCAAACUUAUAUUGCUGAUUUAAGGUUAGAUUAAUUAGACACAAAAAAUAAAGAUAAAAUGAUAAACGACUAAAUUUUUUAGCCUAAUUAAUAGUAAAAGAAAAAAAGAAAACAAUAAUAGUAACAGCAACAACCAUAAGAUAUUGGCUAAUUUAGAAGUUGGAUUUCAAAAUAUGAUAAAGAAAAACAGUGAUAUAAUUGAAAAAAAUUCAACAUAUUCAAUUUGUUCCUAAUUUUUACUUUUUAUAUUUUAUAAAAAUAUUAGGUUGUAGAUCGUUUUAAUUGAUAACAAUGAUUUAAAUUUAAAUUUUUAGUUAUUUGUUUUAAUUUAAUGUCAAAAUUUAACAUCAAGGAGACUUACCUUUAAGAACAAAAAGAAAUAUAUCCUCAUUCUUAAUUUUUUUCCAAUAAUAAAGAAAAAGUCUACAAUUGCCUUCCAUGUUGAUGCACAUAAGUUCAAUGAGAGUAAUUAAAUAGAAAAUUCUAUAGUAUUGUAACAAGUGUAAUGACUGAUUCAAUACUUGACAUAUUUGAUGAUUGAUGUUAUAAUCGGAUGGAUUGCAAGGAGGAGCAUUCUCAUUGUUGGUUAUGUUGGAUUGGAGUUAAAGUUGAUAUGAUUUUAUUAUCUUUGAAAUAGUUUGAUAUAUACUUAUUAAUUUUUUUAAAAAAUACAAAUAAUGGGAUAUUAAAACAUUAUUUAUGUUCUGCACUUGUUGUGUGUAUAUAUAUAUAUGUAUAUGUACGUAUAUGCAUUGGGAUAAAAUUAUAUUGGCUCCACAAAAGAAAAUUAACUUUUUAAUUGAUGAAAACACCAAAUUCUCGUCAAAUAAAUUUAAUAACACAUACCAUUUAUUCUUUAUGAUCCACAUCUAUAAAAGUAUUAUUAUUUUACAUAUAUAUUAGACUAUUUUAAAAUAGCCGUUGAUCAAAUAGAUGUGAAGAUUCCAACAUAUUUGAGAACACAACUAGUGGAAGAAUAGAACCAUCAAAUCUUAUAUAGAUUUGAUCAAAAUAAAUGGUAUCUCUCUUUUGAUGUUUUUCAUUCAUAAACUUUAACAUUUUUGUUAUGGUAAAAAAAUCAAUGUAAAAUUCAAAAUUUGAAAGAUUUGAUAACAAUAAAAACAUAGUUACUUAUCUCAAUUAUCACUUAGUUGGAGAGGUUAAAAUUUGAGUCUAAAUUUAAUAUUUGUUAAAAAAAAAGUUUAACAAUUUUAAAAUUUUAACCAACGUACUUUGAUGUUUUUAGUUAACAUUAUUCACAAAAAUGUGAAAUUCUUCUUCUCCUGUGCAUUGAACAAAAAGUUUAAUUGAAUAUUUAGUCAAAAAGGAAUAAGGAGACUACCAAAUUAGUUGGUAGGAACUUGAAGUGCUUUUCAUAUAUUAAUAAGCAACAAAAAUAUUCUUAAACUCUUGGUUUAUAUAUUUCUUUUGAGUAUUAGAACAGUUGUUAGAAUAAAUAUUUACAAGUUGAUAAACAAGCAAAGAGGGGAAUUGUAUUCUUUCUACUUUUUAGCAAUAUCUUCCUAAAUAAGUUAAACUAUUCUUUAAUUACAAAAAAAAAUACUUAAUUAGUGUAGGUAAAUCUGCACAAUUUCAUUGAUAUAAAACUUAUAUUAUUGACUUUGACAUUGGUGGUUUAAUUUUUUCUCAACAACUAAAAUGAAAAGUUCAAUUUUCUCUAUGCCACAUAUUGUGAUCUAGGAAAAGAAUAGAUUAAAGAAAUAAAACUCAGGUAUACUCUUCAACUAUCUUAUAACCCAAUUGUCCAAUUAUAUAUAUAGCUUGCUACAUGUCAAUUAUAUAUAUGCAAAAAUAUUUAACUUAGGAAAGGGUUAAAUAUGUCAAAAAUAAUUUUAAAAAAUUGUUUUAAAUAAUAAAACAGUUAAAAAAUAUUUACAAACACACAGUAAAGUUUUAUUUUCUAUUUGUCAUAAAACUCUUAAAUUAAUAUAGCAAGAAACCAAUCUUUAGGAAUUAAGCACAAAAAAAAAAUCAUAAUCAAUACUUAGCUUGUGAAGAUAAAAUUAAGAUAGAAAAGAGAUGGGCACUUUAAUUAAAGAGUACCUUUUUGUUGUCUUGCAACACACAAUUUAGGAAGAAUUGUAGUUGAUAAUAUUCUUGCCACUAGAAAAUCUUUGAUAAAUUAGAAAAAUUGUAUUAAAUAAAGAAGACAGUGUGAUGAUUAGAAGAUAUACUAUACUUUGACUGCCUAUUAUUUAUUAAUUGUUAAAGUACUCCCAAAAGUUACUCUCUCUUUUCCAUCUUUAAGUGGAAAAUUUUAAUUUAGUGAACCAAUGAGCUUUUAGAUUGGCUAUAGUAAUUACUAAUUAGUAAUGAUAAAAUGACUAUUGUUUUAGGUAGGGCUAUAGUAAUGACAGGAAAAAAGAAAAGAAUAUAUAUUGAUAUAAUCUUCACUAGAAUGCUUGAACUCUUGGCUAAAUGGAAAAAGGAGUCGAUUUGGAUAUAGUUACGUAUUAAAUUUUAAUUAUAAUUAAACAUAUAAUUCUUUUAAUGUAUCAGAAUAAGAGUUUAUACUAAUUUAAUGAUAUAUAUUUUAUUUUGUGUUGUGUUUUCAAAUACAACAAAAUGGAACUAUUUUAAAUUUUUGCAUCAAUUUUUUAGAUUUUCUUAUAAAUUCUUCCAAAUUUUCCUGCUAUUUUAAACGUGAAAAACUUGAAGGAUUUAAGGAAAACAAAAUGUAGUUUGCUUUUCCAGAAUAACAAAUAAAAUUGUUUUUUUGAUUGUAAGUUUAUAUAUAUUCCAUUUGUAACAGGACUGUAUGAAUAGUUAGGCAUAUAUAUUUUCUUUUAAGAUCACUAAUUAUAAUACAUUAUAAUUCUAAAACCUUGUACUUUCUAUAGAAAAUAUAUCCUCAGAAUGCACAAAAGUGGAGAAGGGUUGGCGUAAAGACUCUUUCUCCAAUUGCACAGUGACAGCUCGUACACAUCUUUAACGCUGAAACAAAAACUAUACCAAACAUUGUGUGUAGUUUUCCAAAAAUAAAAAUCUAAAAUCGUUUAGUCUAUGUUUAAUUAUAUUAAUCUAAACGUAAAGUAAUAAAUAUAAUCUAAUUAAACAUAUCAAAACUCAUUGUUUAUAUAGCAUGCAUUUGCUAUACAAAAUGAUAAUUUCUUUCAUAUAGAAACUCUAAAAGAAAACGUUCAGAAUAUAAGAAUAAUAUAUAAAUCCCAUGUGAGAGUGUGAACAACAACAUGCACACUUUUACACAGUAUAUAAAUCUCCAUUUCAAAGAGCAAACCCUAACCACUAACAUCCCAAACAAAAUCUCUUCUAAUUUCUUCUUGUUCUUCGUGUGCAUGGGAAACAAGUACAGUUCUUUGAGUGAAGAACAGCUCGCCUGGAUUUUCAAGAAACAUGACAUCGACAGAGACAGGAAGCUGACCAAAGAAGAGUUGACACGAGCCUUCAACUAUUUGGGUUCAAGGUGGACCGCCUUGAGAGUCAAGGAAGCCAUUCGCGCUGUCGAUGCAAACCACGAUGGCGUCAUCAGUUUGGAUGAGAUGAGUAAGCUCAUUGUGUAUGUCAAAGGUUGUCGCACCUAAACAAUUAAUAAUACUUAACUGCAACCAUCUUUUACAUGUCAACCUAAGUGGAACUUACUUGAUGUCACCAUGUAGUUGUGCCUCUCAGUUGAGUCGUAAAAUACAAAUGCAGCUUAGUUAGCAGUCGAACACUUUACGUCGCAGAGUUAUAAAUAUUAGCAAAAAGAAAAAAAAAAUCCUUUUUAUUGGAUAAAAAUGUAAAGUGUGAUAUCCACUCUCUGUCAUAGGUCGGAAAUCUACAUUUGCUAACGAUGUUUAAGGGGAAAAAAGUGUAUAAUGUAAUUACUUGUCUGUUUUCUUUUUAAUAAAUCGUUAACUGUGUUGGUAAAUUACUAUUGGUGUAGUUAAUUAUAUAAGAAGCAAGUGGUUUUUUUUUCUUUAAUUUUAUUUUAUGCAUGGUUGUGCAAAUGAUUACUAAAUACAAAUAUGUCAAAUAAAAUUUGAAGAGGAAUUGAAUUCUUUCUAUUUGUGAACAAAAUAUCCUCCGAUAUGUCAUAUAAUUAUUCUUACACUCACUACCAAAAUUAAAAAAAAAAAAAAAAAUCAGCUUGUAUAUCUAUUCUAUGAUUAAAAUAAAUUUUCCUAAAUUAAAAAAUAAUCUUCUAAAUUCUUAUUAUGGGGUAGGUAAAUUUAACUAUAUUACUAACAAUGGACUUGACUGCAUAAGCGCGUUUUAAAAAUAAAUCUCAUUAAGAACAACCAUCUUGUCCUGCUAAUUAAGAUGAGAUUUAAGAGAGUAAUUUUUUUUUUAAAAAAAGACAAGGAAUAUUAGAAAAGUGAAAUCGCAAAGAUAUGAACCCAAUUUUCCAAGUACUAAUUAUGUUUUUUUUUUAAUGAAGUAAUUUUUCUUUGUCCAAUGUUAAGGUUGCUAUAAAUUAAAUUUAUCUUCAUAUAUAUAUAUAUAUAUAUAUAUCAUCAGAACAUGUAAUCUAUAAACAACUUUAGACGUGAGGAAAAUGUUAAAUAAUAUAUAAAUUAAAUUUACGUUUCAUCUAUAUCUUAUGUUUUUACGUCGUUAACCAAAAAAAUAUAUAGAGAGUAAAAAAAAUAGUUAGAGUGGUUGGCCACUAAAACUUAUGUGAAAUAGGAUAAGGAUGGGGAUAAACAAGAUAGGGUUGGAAUAUAUAAGUUGGAAUAAAGUACUAAUCUUCAAAUAUUCAUUUCUCUUAUUUUAGGUAACUAAUAAAGCCAUUCCCUUGAACUAAUGAACAUGGUAGGCAGAGAGAUACACAAUAAUAUAACAAAUGGAUAUUAUGUUCCCUCACACCAUUGCUAGCUUCCUAUCCAAAAAGAAAAAGAAAAAAGAAUGUUCUGAUCUAUUAUUUCUUUGAUUAUGGAAACUUUUUAAAUAUAUAAUUAUCAUCAUCACACUUGUGGAUGCAUGCUUGGCUAAGAUUUAGUAUUAAUAUGGUUGAAACGAUCUAGUUGAAAGACGGAUAUAAGUGUUAAACAUUAUGCAUAUACACACUUAAGUUUGUAAAUUUGAUAGAAUUACUGGGAAGUUUUACUAAACUAUAAGAUUUAAUUUUGUUAGACUUUCACCGAGUGUUGAGGAUAAUAUAUUGAUUUAAAUUUAACAAGCUAAUUUAGAAGUAUAUUUUACUAAUAAUCUUAGUUUAAGUUCGAGUUUUCAAAUAACUUAUAAUAAAUAAUUUGUGACGCACCCAAUAUAGACUACAUACAAAUCUAUGAUAUGGAUGUGAAGUUGCAUUACAUAAAAUAGUUGAUGAGAAAAAUACAAGAGCUUUUGACCAAUUUUUUACUUUCUUUUAACCACUCGUGCAAUGCUUUAAUGGUUUGAUUUUUUACUUUUCAUACCAUGGAGAUGAAUGAUAAUCUAUGGGAAAGUUAGUUUCAAUCUCUCAAUAGGGAGCUGGUGGAAAGUGAAAUGAAUGAGACUUUUAAUUGUAUAUUCGAGUAGAGAAUUUCUAACCGUUCGAAGUGUACACGGCUCAAUAAAUUUCUAAAUUAACGAGUUAGGGAUGUAGGGUUACAGUCAACUAUAUAAUUAAGCCAUCAAAGUCAUUCAUUCUAAACAUGUCGAAACACACCACUACUAAGUAUUCAAUUCCAACUUGUUUUGUAACUUGAGUGUCAAAGCGUUGGUAGUUUGACGUUGCACCAGUGUUGAAUUUCUCCAUUCUGCCAAGCACUUGAACUAUUUUCUCCCAAAAUAAAAUUUUAUAUACGUUUAUUCAUUACUCUUCCAUGGGAAAAAAAGAAAUGGUGUUGCAGAAACCCCGCCUUGAAAAAAGUCUCUCAAACUCUGUCACUGUUUUUAUUUUAAUCGUAUAUCACACUUCCAUAAAGAAACUUGCUGAGUAAAUUGGACUUUGUAAUGGGCCAUAAACACAAAACAGGCUUUAAAUGUUUCGGCCUCUAAUUUUCUUAACACCAUGCUUUGAUUUCACUUUUUUCUCUUAAUUCCCAGACUAUUAGUAAAACUUUUUUGGACAAAACUUGGGAAAUAAUGAAACAAAACUUAGAUGAUAUAGUUUUCCUUUGAAUAACGUAGUUCAAGAAACUUACUGAUUCUUAUGUAAUCUUACAGCAGUUAAGAUUCUCAAGUGUAGAUUCAUUAUUUAAUUCUCGAAUUAGUAUAUGUUCAUUCCCUUAGUUUAUCUGCUCAAACCCCAAGAAAAGUUACUAUUUUCCUUUUGAGAGGCACACUUCCCAAUAUGCCUCCCAUAAGAUAUUUAUGGGCUUCAACCCAUCAUGCAAAAAACGGGAAUCGUAUGGUUCGUGAAGAUAUAAACUAGAGUGAGGGUAUAACUCUCCACCGAUGUAUGUCAAAGAUGAUGGGUCUUUUUUUUAAAAUAUAAGAUAAAGUAUAGAUAGAAAAGGAUUAGUAAUUAGGAUCUGAAGUAAAGGGAAGGUUAAGAACAUGAAAGUUUGAUCAAAUCAUAAUAGAAUCUAUUGUAAAUGGAAUGAAAUUCCUUUAAUAGCCUUUAAAGAACAAAACACAGUCGUCCAUAAAGAAAUUGAGAUGAUUAUUAUGGGAAUCCCUUUUUCAUUUUUCAAAUUUAUUAAAUUACAAUUACGACUAAAGAAUAUAUUAUAAGAAUUAAAAUAUCGUUUUUUAUUUUAUUUAAUUAUUAAUUCUUUUCAAAUGUUUAUUCUUGAAAAAAAGUAAAAACUUUAAAUUAAAAUAAAAAAUAGAUUACCCAUCAAAUUUCAGUAUUUUUACACUUUCAACUUUCAAAACAAAAUCCAAGACAAUUGCUAAUUUCAUAAAAAAAUUAGUCAUUUAUACUCUUUUUGUAAUGAGUAAUAAAGAUAGAAUGAUCAACAAACACACUUAGAUUAACACACCCUUAAUGACUUCAUUAUAUGAUGCUGCACUAUUCGGUGAACUAAUAAAUGAGUAUAAAUGGAUUUCUAAGUUAAAUGUUGGGAUAGUUUAACGAGAUCGUUUUUUGGUGCAUAUAUUUAUCGACCUGUUUAAUGAAACAGAUGUAUUUUGUUAAAAAAAGAGUUUAUUGGAUUUUUAAAAUCUUUUUUUCUUCAAGCUAUUUUGAUUAGAAAAUUGAGGGAGGUUAAAUUUUAAGUUGUUGUUUCUUUUUCUAUAAUAUUAUAUUUAAUUUAUCGAUUAUGACUGCAUGUUCCGAAAAAACGAUCUCCCAAGUAUCAAUCAAUGUUUUAGCCCAUUUUUUCUUUUAUAAUUAACUAUUAACAUUGCCUAUAUUAUGCCUCAAAUUCUUUGCCAUGUUAUUAGUGUUUUUCAAAAUAACUCAUUUCUAAAAUUAAACACUUGAAAAUUUUAAUGGAACAUUUAUUUUAAUAACUUUUGGAUAUUCAAAAUAUCGUCAGUCGAUGCUAGGUUGACACGUACAUAACCACUCUGUUUAUGCCGACAUCCAAAAGAAAAUUAUAUACAUAUGCUUAUAUUCUGAGAUUAAUUCCUUAUGUUUAUAUUCUCCAUCCUCCCAAGUGGUAUUAGGAAAAGUUUGAUGCCAUCUACUUUAGGUUCUGGUGCUACAUAUAGUAUUUUCCUUUGAAUGAAAUAUGUGAACACAAGAAAAUAAAAGAAGGUAUUAUUAGAUUUUCGUUGACAUCAUACAAAAGAAAAUUAUAAUAGAAUGUGUUGACAUUUCAUGAUCACUAUAUAUUGUGUUGACACGUAAAUGUGAGAUUCACCGAUAUUUUUAUUUACAUCGAUAUAUUUUACACCUAUAUCGCAAGAGAACCUUGCAGACACUCGAAUUUUCAUUGUUGAUCCAAAUUGUAAACCUUGCAAAAGGUAUUUUGGAUACUUUAUUCCGAGUUGAUAGAGAUGCUCACAAAAAGACACAUUAUUUCUUCUACGGCAGAAAUGCAUGAAGUAAACUUUGGUAAAUAAAAACUCCCUCAAAGCAUCAAUUCCAUUUGAGAUGAUGUGUAAUAGAUAUCAUCUCAAAGAGCAAAAAGAAAAAAGAAAAAAAAAAAAAACCAUCUCCUUGUGUUAGGGUUUUUGUCUUUUACAUACCAACUCUAUAUAAAGACUCCUUCCCCAUAGAGAAAAAUCUAAGGCAAACAAAAACUAUAUUAUCAUCAACACAAAGAUAUAUUAUUAGAGCUUACGUUCUUGAAUAUCAUUGAAAUGGCAAUGUCAAGGUCUCAACUGAAGUUGACUAGGGAUGAGGUUAGGGAGAUCUUAGAAGAGCAUGACGUGGACGGUGAUGGUAGCCUGACGAAGCAAGAGGUGAUGCAAGCCCUGAACUCCAUGGGUUCUAUGAUGUCCUUUCAGAAAGCUCACUAUGGUGUUUCUCAUGCUGACAAAGAUGGGGAUGGUAAAGUCGAUCUAGGAGAAGCAGAGAUGGAGAAUCUUAUUGACUAUGUCAUGAGGUUUCAGACCCCAAGGGCCCCAAAGACCCCAAAGGUCCCUAAGGUGCCAGCCCAAAAGCCUUGCCAUGAUGGUAAAUCAAUUGUGUAAUAAUCUUAGCUUAUUUCUAUUUAUUAUGUGUCCGUCUUCAGUCUUCGUCUACGUCUUCAUCUUGUUUUUCAGUCCAUAUAGUUUAUGUUACAAAUUGAGCCAUGGCUGUGCUCAAAUUGGCAAUUAUCCACGUAUGUUCGUUAUCUGCAGUAUUGUGUGUCACUGGUAAUAAAAUUAUCUUCUUGUUGUAUCCAUAAAUUAUUAUAUAAUAAACAUUCCUAAACUAUUAAAAAUGUCAGAUUUUCAAUUUCAUUUCAUGCCAUCGUGUGAUUUAUUAUUUAACUUUGCACUAUGUAAAUAUAAACUAAGAUCUUUUAUAAAUAUUUACAAGUAACAUAAAGUUUAAUACAUAGUAGAAUGUUUUGAAUGUAUUAUUUAGCAUUUCUAACACCCAAAAUCUAAGUGGUAUUCAAUAUUUAUUCUAUCUAUGUGAUUUAUGAUUGACUCUUAACCUUAGAAGUACUUUUAUAGUUUAACAGCUUUUAUCUGAUAAGAAAACUUGCUCUCUCCAUCGAUUAGUGUACAUCUAACUCAUGAUUAAUCAAGUAUUUAAUUGUAUCAAUGUUUACUGGUUUUUUGUUGCCCAUUUUUUCUUAACACUGUAGCUAUAAAAUUGUAUUUGCUAACUGACAAAAUUACAUGACCCAAAUAUACUAGAAAUGUUGUAAAUAAUUAACGCCAUAAUGAACCAAAUAAAAGUGUAAAGAGAGUAUACAAAAGGCAAAACACACCAUAUGAACAUUCUCAUGUAAGGAUACAAAUGUAUAUAUAAAAUGGGGCCAUUCGUUUUAUAAUAGCAGAAAGCAGUAAUUAGAAUCGAUGAUAUAUAAAAGGAAAAAGAGAUUCAUUGGACGACAUUUAAUUAAGACAAAUCAAAUAAGCCUACCAUCAUAAUUUUCUUAAAAAAUCUGUUACAUUUUUUUGAAUGGAAUACUAGUAGACCAGGGUCAUUAAUGCACCCAACGACUCAUCCAAGAUCGUUUGCCAUAGCAGCUGCAUCAGUCAUCACACUCCAGCCCAGCCCCCAUGUUGUUUACUUUUGUAUAAAAUGGUAAUCAAAUAUAGAUGUUUAUUGAAAUGUCAAUCUGUUUAAUUAAAAUACAGUAACUAAUGAAUAUGUAAUAAAGAUACUAUCCAGCCCUGCCUGUACUACUUUUCUUGGUAAUAAAAUUCUGGCGUUAGGGCUUUGCCCACUCACCUUGUUUCCUCUUAAAAAAUGAAUAUCUAAUAAGAAUUAAAAUAACCUUUUCUAAUUUUAUUCUUUAUUAACUGUCAUUUACAGCUUGUUCAAACAUUAACACUUAAAAGAUUUAAAAUUAAAAUAUGGUUUGACUUAAACUCACCCAUCUAAAUUCCAAAACAUCUUAAAGUGAAAACAUUAAUAAACUUAAAUUAAUAUCUCAUCUUCUUUUAUUUUUUGUAACCAAAGGAUGAUAUAUGCAUACAGAAAUAUGUAUUAUUGUACGUGAUAGACCACCAAAUAUUUGCUGAAUAUCUUUAUCCCCAUCGACUGGACAUUUCUAUAACUUUUGAAAAACGAUUCUUCUGUUUUGGUAGGGUUUUGUUUUUCUUUUCUUUUCUUUUCCUUUUGACAAAAAUGAUAAUAACUUGGAUUUUUGACAUUUUAUGGUUGAGUUUCAGUUUUCUUUUACAAGUCUAAAUCGUGGCUAGCUUAAGAAAUAUUUCUACAAUUCAAUUUACACUUAUAUCAUACAUUUUAAUUUUGAAUAUUUUGCUACAUCAAAUUUGAGUAAUUACAUUUUAUUUGAAUAAAUACAUCAAUUAGAGAGAGGUUAGAAAUUGCAUCCAAAAGUCUCAAAUAUGACCUUAUUUUGUUCUUCUAAAAAGAAAGAAAAAAUAUUCGUGAAUAAAGUAUAAAAUUCCAAAAAGCUGAGAUUUAAUUUAGGAUUCUUUUCAAAAAUAGGAAAAAAAAUCACAAAUUUGUUCACUCCAUAUAAAAAAAUAUUAAAAAAAAUUCAUUACAUAAAUAAUAUUUAAAAAAUUGCAUAGGACAAUAUUUUGAGAAUAUGAUAUAGCAAUUAUAGAACACUGUUUUAGAAUUUUGCAAAUAUGACAAAUGUUUUACUUCUUCAUCUUAAAUUUGUUAUUAUUCUUAAACUAUCAUUUAAUAAUUUAUUUCUCUUCCUCUUUUUAAUGCCCUAUUCAUUAUAUAUUUAUUCUCUCACUUUUUAAGGCCCUAAUUAUUUGUUUAUUCUUAUACUAGAAAAAUUAUUUAUUCAUUAUUCUCUCACUUUUUAAGGUUCUAAUUAUUUGUUUAUUCUUAUACUAUAAAAAUUAUUUAUUCUUCAUGUGUUAAUCUUAAUUUUAAAAUAUCAAUAGUAUAAUAAUUGCAAUAUGAAAUAUAAUAUAAUGGUUGGUGAUCGGAGUAAUUAACUUCAUUUGUGAUUUCUUUUUUUACUUUCUUCGAUGUGUAUUUUAAGCUGAAUCUAAUUUCAAAUGAUUUUGUUUUAUUUUUUUACAUUAAUUUUUUGAUUUUACUUUGUCUCAGUUUCAUAUAUCAGUGUUAUGAUAUACUUAUAUUAUAUAUAUUAGUUAGUUAAUAUACUUACUAUGUAAUUUUUGUUUUCUGAAAAUUUUAUAUAGAUCAUUAGAGUAUUAUUAAGUAUAUGAAUUAUUUAACUUAGUGUAUCAUUAUCAAGUAUAUCAACAAUAUAUUGUUAAAACAUAUCAAUAAAGUGAAUCAUUAUCAAGCAUAUGAAUCAAAUUUACAAGUGUAUAUCAAUAGUAUAUCAAGUGUAUAAGUAUGACUUCAAGCAUAUCGAGUGCAUUUAAUCAAUCAAUUGUGUAGAUACCGUAUUUUGUCCUGCCUUUUUAUUUUUUUCAUUAAUUUAUUUAUUAUUUUUUUAAAAGAAUUUGAAUUUGAAUUUAAAUUUAAAUUAUAAAAUUUAAAUCUUAAUUUUUAAAUUUAUGUUUUAAAACAAAAACAAAAAUAAAAACAUAUUUAAAAUUAAAUUUAAAAGUAAAGAUUUUUUUUCUUCUCCCUAUUUUUCUCAACCUUCCCCUGUUUUCCUGAGUCACAACCCUCCCACUUUCUCCCAAUCUCUCACGUUCUCCCACUCUUCCAUCUUCUUCCCCAAUCUCUCACGUUCUCCCACUCUUCCACAUUUCUGUGUACUCCAUUUCACUAUCUAAACCUACUUCACUUCUAUCUAAAAAAAGGAGACAUUUCCCUAUAAAAAGAGAAUGAGAAGAUUCAAUGGGGGGAGAAUUUUUUUUGCUGGAGAAUUAUUUGGUAGAGAAGAGGGACACGUAAAAGAUUUUUUUUGGAAGAGGUGAGGAGGAUCAACCCAGAACAUUUUGCAUUUAAGGCAGACCUUGUAAGUUCUUUUUUUUAUUCACGUUUGAUAAUACUAGCUUGAUUAUUUGGCACCCAGUAAUUAUUUCGCACCCAUCUGGGUGCUGUCUUAAUUAUUCAUUUAAAUCACUCGUUAAUUAGCUGAUGCGUUAAUCAUUGGGCACUCAUUUCACAUCUUUUAAUUAUUUGCAUCAUUUGAAUUAUUUGGCACCCAUUUGACUCUUUGAUUGCUGACCUAAUACAGUGUAUCAGGUGUAUCAAACAUAUAUUAGUAAUGUUUCAGGUGUGUAUAAAAAAGUAUCGAGUAUAUCAAAGAGUAUCCGAGCAUCAAGUGUAUCAAUCAAAUGUAUCAAAAAGUAUAAGGUGUAUCAAAGAAUGUAUUAGGUGUAUCAGACGUGUAUAAGACGUGUAUAAGGUGUGUAUAAGGUGUAUCAAACGUAUAUUAGUAACGAGGACAUUUGUGACAUUUUACCUUUUGAUGUGUGGACUGGGUUUCGUUUUUGCCAUUUUCGCAAAUAAAAUGUGUGUGCUAUAGACUUAAUUGUUAUAACUUAUUUUGUCAUUUUUGCAAGUGCCCCUAAAUAUUUUGUCAAAUUUUCUAUUUUUGACAAUUUUCCAUAAAAAAUAAUAUUAAUUAACGUUUAAUAAAGUUCAAAUCUCUUCUCUUCUCGGAUUGGUCCAAAAUGGUGAAAUUAAAUAAAUAUUAAAAGAAAAUGAGAAAAAAAAGUGUCAAUAGAUAAUUGCAAAAUAUAUACUUUUGAUUGAUGAGAUUUGAAAUUAUUUUGUCUAUCCUAGUAUUUAAAAUUUGAAAAGAAACACUUGACAUCUCUAAAAAAAAAGUUUGACAAGCAAGCAAUGGAUCGAUCCAUAAUUUUUCUUAAGAGGGACUUAAGUUAAAUUAUUUUGCAAAAAUAUUAAAAUACAACUUAAGUUCAAGAAACUUUCAAUUUAAAUUUUGCCAUAAAAUUGAAAUGAUGUCUCAUGUGUUAUUAUAAACAUUCAAUUUUGUAUUUAGUAUACAAAACACAGGAUGAACUUUGAAUACCUAAAUCCACGCAAAAUUAAAAAAAUUAUUUUAAGUUCACACUUGAAUUAAAAUUUAGAGAAGACAUCUUCUUUCCUUUUGUGAUUAUUAUUAUUUUCUCAACAGAGAAAUUAGAAGUUGGGGUAUCGGACAAAGUUAGAAAGUUCAAAACGUUCAAAACGUUCUUUAUUCUCCAAAGCUUCCUAAUCAAGAUAAGAUGGAACCAAGAGGCUACGCUUUUUAAGGACCCUUCCCUUCCACUUUCUUCUCAACAGUUCUUCAAUCGAAGAAAAACGGCGAAGGUUGCGAAGUCGUCUAGGUUUCAUCUAAAAUGACUCGUCAAUUAUAUGACAAGAAGAAAUCAGGGUACAAGUUGCAAAAAGAAGAAAUGAAAGAAAUGUUUAGGGAGCAUGAUUUCAAUGGCGACGGUCGCUUGAGCAUUAAAGAAUUGUCGAGAGCAUUCGGCCAAUUUGGCGCAUUCUUCCCUCUCUACCGUGCAGCUUUUGGGUUGUUCCUUGCAGAUGAUGACGGCGAUGGAUUUAUCAGUGAGCAAGAACUAGAUAAAGUGGUAGAUUAUGCUAUUAAAUGUAAGUAUAACCUACUUUAGUUAUCUUUUCCAUCCUGCUGUGGAAGGUUCCCUAGUGAGUGUGAGUUGUUGAUGUAAAAAAAUAAUAUACAGAAAGGUAAUUUGUGUGUUCAAGAGAUACCUUCCCCUAUUAUUGUAAAAUGCCUUUCCUGAUGGCUGAUGCGAAGAUGAUGAUGAUAGCAUUUCCAAUAAAAAUAAAUUUUAUGCUUCAUUCUUGCUCUUGCAUGAUAUGAUAACAAUUUUCUAAAUAUAUGUAUAUUGUUACAAAAUAAUAGACGCACUUUAUUUUAACAAUGUACCAGGAUCUGUUAACCUAUUAAUCUCUUGUAUCCAAAAGUUUCAAAAACAAAUUACAAGCUGAUAUAAACAAUAAUGAUUACAAAGUAAUACAAAAAUGUCAGUGUUGAAGUUUGCAGCUUAAUUAAAACUUUACAAAUAUAUUGAUAGAUACACAUCGUACAGGAACGUCCACCAAUAUCAAAAGGUACGAAAAUCAAACUAAACUGACCAAUGUCCAAUUAUCUUCAAAAUCGAUCGGUUUGGUUCACUUUGGUGAUCUAAUUAAUUUUGUUCCCCGGCAUCUUGGCUUCGGUUUUAUUAACAUUUUUUUGUAUUCUCCAUUUGUUAUAUUGGCCAUCAAAUCUAGGAAGAGAAGAGGGUGAAAUAGAGUAGGAUGUUUAAUUUGGGAGAGAAAGAGGUUCAUGAAUCUUUGAACCAUAAACUUCGUCCUAUUUGGAUGUCAAGAUUCAUGUCUCAAAUAAGUAUUUGGUAAAUUAGAAUGGUGAACCGAAGAAAUAUCUUCUCGUAAAGGCUUGUUGAACAUAUAGCUUGCUCGCUGUAUAUGAUGUACUGAUUCAAUAUCUGAUCUAUGAAACAAAACAAACAUGGUGAACUUACAUUUCUUUUUUUAAACUUUAGAUACUGUUGUGUAUUUUCAUUUCUAAAACUUUGAGAAAAAAAACUAUUUACUUUCCUAAAGUAAAUAGUAAAAUAGUUUAAAUUAUGUGAAAAUAUUUACAAAACACACAAAAAUUUCAAAUUCUAUCCAGAAUAGAUAAUGAUUAACUUUUGUUGGUGUCUAUGUUGAGUGCAAUGUCUAUCAUUAAGAAAAUCUUAAAUCUAAACUUUUGGUGGCAACAAGCAACAAGCAACGUACAUCUUGAAUAUAAUUAUUACUCAAAUUAUUUUUCUUAACAAAAUAACUAAUGUUGUUAAACAUUGUUCAUGGUAAAGACGUAGAACCCUAAUUUGCCCACACAAACAACGAAUGCUCGAAUUCUAUUGUUAAUAAUUUAUCCUCAUAUGUGUGGGUUUUUCUCUAGUAUAUAAUAUUUCGGUAUACCUACUAAUCCAUUCUAGAAUAAUUUCUUGGUAAACAAAAAAAACUAUAAAUUAUAAAGGAAUGAAUAAAUUAGAAUAGACUAAAAAUAGAUUACUCAAUUUUUUAAAGUUAUUAUUCCAAUCUUAAAGCUUAAGUUCAACAGAUGAUGUCAAAACACUAUCUACGUCAAUCACUAUCUGAUUUGCCACUUUUGUUAAUAAUAUAAACUCAACUUUUCUAUUUUUGACAACUUUUCUAAAUUCUAAUUUUUAUAAUUAAACAAAACGUACAUACAAAAUAUAUAUUUACAAAUAAAAUUCUGAAGUGAAAUUCUAUUUUAAUUUAAAAGUAAUUGACAAAUUUUGUUAUAUUUUUUUAAAAAAAUAUUACUAUAUAUUUGAAAUGUGCUACUUGUUGCAUUUACCAUAUUUUUUAAUCUUUCACCAAUAAAUUUAAAAUCCUAAUUUAAUUAAUCUUCAUUCUCAUAAGAAUGAUAAUUGCAUAAGCAUAAUAAUUUAUUCUUUCACAUUAUUUCCAACUUCUAUACAAGUAUUUAUAAUUGAAAAUUAUUAAAAAUAACAAAAAUUGUUGAAAAUAUCUAUCUAAUAUAGUAAAAUUUUCCAUUCAUCGAUAAGGGUAGAUUUGAAAAAAUGAUAUCAAGUUAUAAUCUUAGUUCUAAAAAAACCAAAACUUGUAUUUCUAUUUCUUCAACCCUUUCCACAUAACCAAGGUCCAAUAUUUGAAAAGGAAAAAGAAAAGUAGGUAUUCAAAAUUAAAAGAUGUGGGAAUUAAAACAGCCGUAAUUAGCAUAUGCAAGGUUUUUGUUUUUAAUCAGUAUGUUGUUUCUUUAAACACUUAUUAUUACGAUUAUGUAAUAAAUUUAAGACUUAUUAGAGAAAUGUUGUUGUUAGGUUUUUGGCGAUUCCAACAUAUAUAUCGUAGUUUUUUUAAAAAAGAAAUAGAAAAGAAAAAGGAACUAAGGAAGGGGAUGGAAAAACCUAAAUCGGAGGUAUGGUGAUGGGGAACGGUAAGGGAAGUCGGAAUCCAUUUCCGGCAACGAAAAGUAAUUAAGGAAAGAAAAUUCCAUAAAUUAUUAGCAGAAUCAAUAAUGGGAAAAAUAUAAAGGUAUGCUUGGAUGCAGGAAUGAUUUAUGGUGGACUACUCACUCAAAAUUAUUCCUUUGUUCCUUCCUUUAUUUAUUUUGAUGCACCACCACAUUUUCAAAUUACCACCAUGCAUGAAGAUAUAUAUAUUAUAUAUAUAUAUAUAUGAGCCAUGAAUAUUUUUUAAAUAUUAAUAUUAGAAAUAUAGAAGAAAACGAAAACCUAAGUUAAUAUUUUGUGUAAAUUUGGUAGUGAGGGUGAAAGUGGGAAGAUAAGAAUAGGGAACAAAUGAAUCAGCCACACCCAUAAUGAAGAUGGUACCCAACUUGGAAAUCUGAGUAUCUUUGAACGAACAGUAUUUUGGUAUCUCUUUUUUUUUAUAAAGAUACUUUGAGAUAGCUGAUGCAAGGCCACAUGGGAACAUAUCAAUGCAUCAACUAUAGCCCCACUUCAUUAAUAAUAAAAGGUGAUUACAAGAAGCGGGGAAUAGAAAGGUUAGAGGGCAGCCCGAUUAUCCCAAAACGAAAGCAUGUAAAUUUAAAGCAAUAGAACUGGACGGGUAAUUUUUGAAAAGAGAAGAACGACUCGACCAUAGACCAGUUAUAGCUUGAAUGUCUUCCCAUACAGAAACAUCUGAUUUCUCUUCUCCCUUAAAAGUCCUUAUGUUUCUUUCAUUCCAGAUAUUCCACAGGGUAGCAGCCACCAGAUGUUGUUCAAUGGUUUGUCUUUUUUAUUUACCUUUAGUUUUGAAAGGUUGUUUGCAUAAAACAGUAGAAUCUAUAUGGGGGAGAAGUUUGUCUAGUACCUCUUCAACUUUUUUCCACAGGUUUUUUUUGUGAAGGGGAAGAGGGAGAAUAAAUGAAUACUAUGUCAUUCACCAUUUUCUAAUGUCAUACUUUUAAUGGUAAAUACUUAGACGUUUCAUGAAAUUUAUUUAUGAUUUAUCUAUGUACGUUUACUAAUUGGAUGUUUAAUUACAAUAUUUUUACCAAUGACGAGAUUCUUCAUCUUUUUAGUUUUUCUUAUUCCUUGAUGAUUGUAGGAUGCAUUCAAGAUCCAUCCAAUUUCAUUUUUAGAUUUUUGAAAUUGUUAAAAUAAUUUUUGUCAUAUUAAAAAAUAAUUUAAAUAUAUUUUAGUAAUUUUUCUAUCGUUUUGUUUCAUAGCAAAUAUAAUUUAAAUUCAAAUUCGGUAGAAAUAAGAGAAAGAUGUGAAAAAAUGGUACAUUUUUGCAAUACGACAACGCACUCUUUCAACUAAACUAUAUAUGCUCGAUUUGACUAGUAUUAUUGCAUUGAAAUCGACACAAAAUGGGUAGAAAAUAAGUGGGUAUUAUAAUACCAAAGCAUCAAAUAUGCAAAGCCACCACUGUGAAACUCUUAAAGCCUAAAAGAUAAAACGCAAAUUGCCAAAAGCAUCUUCCAUCCUUUACCUUGUUGGAAAAUUCAUUAAGUACUUAUUAAUUAAUUGCGAUAACAAAGGAAUAAUUGAAUUGUGAAUUUGUCACUCUUUAAUCACUUUCUGGAUUUGGGUGAUCAAGUUUAACUUUAUUAACUUUCAAUUUUUAGGAAUUGAAUUCUAGACUCUAGUGAGUAUUAAUACACGUUUAAAUUGGUAUUAAAUUUGUUUUUAAUGUUAUAUGUGUUUUAGUCUCCUUUAAAUAUCUCUACCUUGUUAAGAUAUAUACAUUUCCUCUGCCUCCUUGUUAAAAGAAAAUUGGUAUAAAACAAAGAUUUCCAAAAACCAACAAAUAAAUCAAAAUCUCAAAAGGGCAAAAAAAAGAGUAAAAGCCAGAGUCUUGUCAAAUUAAUUAUAAGAAUCCUCAUAGCUAGCUUUAACUGCAAGUUCUAGAAACAAAAUGAAUAAAUUUAAUCGAUAUCAUUCUUUUAAUAAAUGUUUCAAAGUACGUAAAUAAAACUACACAUAGUUAGAUAGUUAUUAAUUAUUUGACAAGGUGUAACAGAUAAUACCCUAUAAACAACGAUCCAUUUUUGACAAUUUUUUAUUGCAACCCAAACUUUAUCUAAAAGUUUUUCAUGCAACAAUAUAUCAUGACUAACUUUACAAGACCAAUAAGGUUUUACAUCCAAAGAAAAGAAAAUGUAAUAGAUAAGUAAGGAUAGUUAUUAAAUUUUUUUUUAUGCAUGAAAACUUUCUGAACUGAUAAUGAAAUCAGAAGAAUAUUGACUACUUUCAAGACACGUAUUCGAUUCUUCACGUGAGCUUCGUAAAGUUGAUGUUAAACGUUUUGGCAGUAUCCUCUUUUUUCUUCUUUUUCCAUUUUAUUAUUUUUAUAUAAAGAAAAAUGAAAUUCUCCUUUCUAAAAAUUCAGAAAAUACCUCAUAAAAAAAAAAUAGUAAAAUGUAAUAUUUUAAUUCUAAGAAAAGAUUCCAUAUAUCAUUAUGAUACCAAUAUGAUUACAAAGAAAGUGGGAGAAUUCUACUAUAAAUACCCCACGAUCCAUACAUCGAUAAACACCAAGCAAACCAUAAAAAAAAUACGAACAUUUUGCUCCAACACUAAACCGUAUCAUUUCUAAGAAAAUGUCUCGUGCAGCAACCAGGCUACAGCUCUCCAGGGAGGAUAUAAAGGAGAUUUUUAGAGAGCACGACAUCGAUGGAGAUGGUCGAUUGAGCAUGAACGAGAUGGUGAAGGCCUUCGGGUGCUUUGGCAGUAUUCUUCCUUUCUACAAAGCACACUACGGAAUGGCUCAUGCUGAUGAGAAUGGCGAUGGCUUCAUCGAAGAGGAGGAGCUCGACAAGCUUGUCGACUAUGCCCAGAAGUUUCAGCACAAGAGAAAGUGCUGAGGUUAAUUAUAUGUAAUUUUCCUCAGUCUGCUGGUCAUAAUGUCAUUAACACUUUCAGUUUACAUGCACUACUUUAAAUAUUAUACUCUCAUGUUUAGAAGUUUUAAUGUGUUGUUGUAUAAAUAAAGAAAAGAAAAAGAAGGGCUAGGCUACGUAGCUAAAAUUCCUGCUUUGCCUUAGCUAUCAAAAGGGGAGACGUUGUCUUUGUGUUUCAAAAAAUAAAAUAAAUAAAAAAUAAAAUCAUAUUGAGAUAGUUUAUCUCAUUAUUAUCAUAUUUGUAAGUUGUGCGUUUUUUACAAAGAAAUUGG
rnacentral:lncRNA from 1 species